GACGAACGCUGGCGGCGUGCUUAACACAUGCAAGUCGAACGGAAAGGCCCUGCUUUUGUGGGGUGCUCGAGUGGCGAACGGGUGAGUAACACGUGAGUAACCUGCCCUUGACUUUGGGAUAACUUCAGGAAACUGGGGCUAAUACCGGAUAGCAGCUCCUGCUGCAUGGUGGGGGUUGGAAAGUUUCGGCGGUUGGGGAUGGACGCGCGGCUUAUGAGCUUGUUGGUGGGGUAGUGGCUUACCAAGGCUUUGACGGGUAGCCGGCCUGAGAGGGUGACCGGCGACAUGGGGACUGAGAUAGGGCCCAGAGUCCUACGGGAGGCAGCAGUGGGGAGUAUUGCACAAUGGGCGGGAGCCUGAUGCAGCAGCGCCGCGUGCGGGAUGACGGCCUUCGGGUUGUAAACCGCUUUCGCCUGUGACGAAGCGUGAGUGACGGUAAUGGGUAAAGAAGCACCGGCUAACUACGUG
rnacentral:rRNA from 1 species